rnacentral:rRNA from 1 species
UGCGUAGGCGGUCUUGUUAGUCAGUCGUGAAAUCGCUGGGCUCAACCCAUGCAAUUGCGAUUGAUACUGCAGGACUUGAAUUAGGUUAAGGCAGGCGGAAUGUGACAUGUAGCGGUGAAAUGCAUAGAUAUGUCAUAGAACACCGAUUGCGAAGGCAGCCUGCUGGGCCUUUAUUGACGCUGAGGCACGAAAGCGUGGGGAGCAAACAGGAUUAGAUACCCUGGUAGUCC